ensembl:misc_RNA Metazoa_SRP Metazoan signal recognition particle RNA
GCCGGGCAUGGUGGCGGGCGCCUGUAGUCCCAGCUACUCGGGAGGCUGAGGCAGGAGAAUCACUUGAACCCAGGAGGUGGAGGUCACAGUGGGCUGAGAUUGUGCCACUGCACUCCAGCCUGGGUGAAAGAGUGAGAUUCUGUCUCAA